rnacentral:rRNA from 1 species
CACGCCGUAAACGAUGAAUGCUAGGUGUAGGGGGGGAUACUCCUCUGUGCCGGAGUUAACACAAUAAGCAUUCCACCUGGGGAGUACGGCCGCAAGGUUGAAACUCAAAGGAAUUGACGGGAGCCCGCACAAGCAGUGGAGUAUGUGGUUUAAUUCGACGCAACGCGAAGAACCUUACCGGAACUUGACAUCCGCGGAAGGCCGAUGUAAUGUUGGCCGUGCCCUUCGGGGAGCCGCGAGACAGGUGG